GUAACUGCUUUUGUGCGGAACGAAAAGGCCCUGGUGAACAACCGGGGUUGCUGACGGUACCGUAAGAAUAAGCACCGGCUAACUACGUGCCAGCAGCCGCGGUAAUACGUAGGGUGCGAGCGUUAAUCGGAAUUACUGGGCGUAAAGCGUGCGCAGGCGGACAUGCAAGACAGAUGUGAAAUCCCCGGGCUCAACCUGGGAACUGCAUAUGUGACUGUAUGACUGGAGUACGGCAGAGGGGGAUGGAAUUCCGCGUGUAGCAGUGAAAUGCGUAGAUAUGCGGAGGAACACCGAUGGCGAAGGCAAUCCCCUGGGCCAGUACUGACGCUCAUGCACGAAAGCGUGGGGAGCAAACAGGAUUAGAUACCCUGGUAGUCC
rnacentral:rRNA from 1 species